GCGCUAUUCGUAUAUGGGUAGUACAUUGGUUUUCCAAACCAAUAGAAAGGGUUCGAGUCCCUUAUGGCGCAC
rnacentral:tRNA from 1 species